AGAGUUGCAUCCCUGAGGACAGGACCAUGAGCAUCCUGCCCCAAGUCACUCAGAUCCUCCUGGGGAUAUUAGGUUCAGGCUCCCUGUGGUGGUGGUGGUGGUGGCGCAGGGGCUUCUGGAUAGCAAAGUAAAGAAGCUAAUGAGACAAGAAACCUUGCCUCAUAAUCUGGAAAACUUCAUCACUUCCCUGGCUCUGGGCCAAAGCAAUCAUUUUAAGGUGCUUGGAGCGGGGAAGGGGGGCUGAGAGGAGGGUGGUUUGCUGUGGGUUUCUCCUCCCAGACUUGCCUAAAUUCCCAAGCAGGCAAAUUACUCACUGAGCACCCUGCACCCUAGUGCCUCGGGACCAGUCCAGGAGACAGGGCAGAGGAGGACACAUCUGCCAGGUGGCUCCCAGGGUCCCACCCCCGAGUCAUUCUCAUACUCAGUGCCACUGUUAAUGCCUUCCGCUUUAGCUUAAUUAAGCCAUCUGCCCACAUUAAAUGGUAAAUUAUCUCAAUCACUCCCUGGAUCCCAGAGGGGAGAAAGAGAUGAAAGGAAAAUGUCAUCCCUUG
rnacentral:lncRNA from 1 species